rnacentral:rRNA from 1 species
AUUGAACGCUGGCGGCAGGCCUAACACAUGCAAGUCGAGCGGAUGAAGGGAGCUUGCUCCUGGAUUCAGCGGCGGACGGGUGAGUAAUGCCUAGGAAUCUGCCUGGUAGUGGGGGAUAACGUCCGGAAACGGGCGCUAAUACCGCAUACGUCCUGAGGGAGAAAGUGGGGGAUCUUCGGACCUCACGCUAUCAGAUGAGCCUAGGUCGGAUUCGCUAGUUGGUGGGGUAAAGGCCUACCAAGGCGACGAUCCGUAACUGGUCUGAGAGGAGGAUCAGUCACACUGGAACUGAGACACGGUCCAGACUCCUACGGGAGGCAGCAGUGGGGAAUAUUGGACAAUGGGCGAAAGCCUGAUCCAGCCAUGCCGCGUGUGUGAAGAAGGUCUUCGGAUUUUAAAGCACUUUAAGUUGGGAGGAAGGGCAGUAAGUUAAUACCUUGCUGUUUUGACGUUACCAACAGAAUAAGCACCGGCUAACUUCGUG